rnacentral:rRNA from 1 species
GUGCCUACGGGGCGCAGCAGUGAGGAAUAUUGGUCAAUGGACGCAAGUCUGAACCAGCCAUGCCGCGUGCAGGAAGACGGCUCUAUGAGUUGUAAACUGCUUUUGUACGAGGGUAAAUCCCGAUACGUGUAUCGGGUUGAAAGUAUCGUACGAAUAAGGAUCGGCUAACUCCGUGCCAGCAGCCGCGGUAAUACGGAGGAUGCGAGCGUUAUCCGGAUUUAUUGGGUUUAAAGGGUGCGCAGGCGGCGAGUUAAGUCAGCGGUAAAAUUUCGGGGCUCAACCCCGACGAACCGUUGAAACUGGCU